rnacentral:rRNA from 1 species
AUUGAACGCUGGCGGCAUGCUUUACACAUGCAAGUCGAACGGUAACAGGCCGCAAGGUGCUGACGAGUGGCGAACGGGUGAGUAAUGUAUCGGAACGUGCCCAGUCGUGGGGGAUAACGCAGCGAAAGCUGCGCUAAUACCGCAUACGAUCUAUGGAUGAAAGCGGGGGACCGUAAGGCCUCGCGCGAUUGGAGCGGCCGAUAUCAGAUUAGGUAGUUGGGGGGGUAAAGGCUCACCAAGCCAACGAUCUGUAGCUGGUCUGAGAGGACGACCGGCCACACUGGGACUGAGGCACGGCCCAGGCUCCUACGGGAGGCAGCAGUGGGGAAUUUUGGACAAUGGGCGCAAGCCUGAUCCAGCAAUGCCGCGUGCAGGAAGAAGGCCUUCGGGUUGUAAACUGCUUUUGUACGGAACGAAACGGUCUGGGUUAAUACCUCGGGCUAAUGACGGUACCGUAAGAAUAAGCACCGGCUAACUACGUGCCAGCCGCCGCAGUAA